ensembl:lncRNA
ACAGAGAAUGCAUUGGAGCCUCAGACAGUGUCCAACUAAGUUGCCCAAGCGGCACUCAAACUUGUGGUCCUUCUACCUCAGCUUCUAAAGAGGUUUUUAAUAAAGACCAAGGCAACUGUGAUACACGUGGCACAGACUUCUCUGCACAGAAGUACUGAAAAUAGCAGAAUCAUGACAACUAUGCUUCCUUCCUCACUCUGCCAGUCCAUGAUCACGAGUCUCAGUUUUAUGGUAUGUGCAGAAAAGGGGACCUUAGUGGGAAUGAAUGGAGACAGAGUACAAAUGAAACAGCUAUGGAAAUUUCAGGCGACAAAAUGCAGUGAGGGGAUGUGGAUGGCAUUCUUCUUGGAAAGCAUCAAAAUGAAGGGAGUUACAAUUCAUGCUACCUGUGACCAGUAUUUAAAGUGAAAAACACAGCCACACUGACCUUGCACCUUUUGACAUACAGCAAGUGUUCGGACUUCUCACUGUUCAAUCACCACCAUCUGGCUUUGCAGGUGAUUAACAAUUUUCUUCCAGUCACCUUCCC